rnacentral:tRNA from 1 species
GGACUGUGGCUCAGUGGUAGAGUGCUUGUCUAGUAUGCAUGAGGCCCUGAGUUCGAACCUCAGCACCA